rnacentral:rRNA from 1 species
CGGCAACAGCUCAAAUUUGAAAUCUGGCCCCUCGGGGUCCGAGUUGUAAUUUGUAGAGGAUGCUUUUGGUGAGGUGCCGCCCGAGUUCCCUGGAACGGGACGCCAUAGAGGGUGAGAGCCCCGUACGGUUGGAUGCCUAGCCUCUGUGAAACUCCUUCGAC